GAUUCAGUUACCAGAUGGGAGAGUAGCUGUGCCACAGCUACUGGGAGCUGCAGUUGUACUGGCUGUGCAGGAAAAAACCCAUCUAGGUCAGGACUCACUGGAAGAGUUGUUAGGCCGGUAUUUCUACAUCUUGCAUUUGUCAGCUCUUGCCAAAACGGUGACCCAGCCGUGUGUUACCUGCCGACAGCAUGAUGGGAGUCAAGGUCCAGCCGUUCCGCCUGGCAUAUGAGCUUAUGGAGCAGCCCCCUUUGAAGAUAUCCAGGUAGACUUCACAGAGAUGCCAAAGUGUGGAGGUAACAAGUAUUUACCAGUUCUUAGGUCUACCUACUCUGGGUGGGUGGAGGCUUAUCCGACACGAACUGAGAAAGCUCAUGAAGUAACCUGUGUGCUUCUUCGAGAUCUUAUUCCCAGAUUUGGACUGCCCUUAUGGAUCGGCUGAGAUAACGGGCCUGCAUUUGUGGCUGACUUGGUACAGAAGACGGCAAAGGUAUUGCGGAUCACACGGAAACUGCAUGCUGCCUACUGGCCUCAGAGUUCUGGAAAGUUGGAGCGGAUUAAUCGGACUAUCAAAAAUAGCAUUAUUGUCUUCUCCGCUGGUUAUUAAAAACAAUAACACAAGGGGCGUCAAACCACCUGCCCAAUUAGAGGGAACAAAAAAGAAAAUCUUGCCCAGGUGUGGUGGUUCAGGCCUGUAAUCCCAGCGUUUUGGGAGGCCGAGUCGCACGGAUCACUUGAGGCCAGGAGUUUGAGACCCACCCUGCCAACAUGGUGAGACCCCAUCUCUACUAAUAACACAAACAAUGAGCCGGGUGUGGUGACGUGUGCCUGUAGUCUCAGCUACUCGGAAGGCUGAGGCCCAAGAAGCGCUUGAACCCGGGAGGCGGAGGUUGCAGUGAGCCCGGAUUGUGCCUGUAUACUCCAACCUGGGCAACAGAAAGAGACUCCAUCCCACACACACCUACACACAGAAGGAAUCUCAGGAAGGUGGAGAGUAUAAAGGGGGUUAGCAGACGCUAGGAAGAAAAGGGGUGGGAUGGGGAAUGAAGACAAGUGGAUAAUUGGGCCCCAAAAUACAGAAAGAUGGAAUAAAUGAGUUCUAGUGUUUGAUAGUACAGUAUGAAUAUUUUAGUUCACAAGAAUUUCUUGCAUAUUUCCAGAUGCUUUGGUAAGAAGCUUCCUAACUUUCUCAUUAUGCUGGUUUUUAAGCUCUUCUCUUUCUGCUCUUGAUAUCGUGCUGGUUUUUUUGUUUUUUUGUUUUUUGUUUUGAGAUGGAGUUUCACUCUUGUUGCCCAGGCUGGAGAGUAAUGGUGCAAUCUUGGCUCACCGCAACCUCUGCCUCCUGGGUUCAAGCGAUUCUCCUGCCUCCACCUCCCGAGUAGCUGGGAUUAGAGGCAUGUGCCAGCAUGCCCAGCUAAUGUUGUAUUUCUAGUAGAGAUGAGGGUUUCUCUCUGUCGGUCAGGCUGGUCUUGAACUCCUGACCUCAGGUGAUCCACCCGCCUCGACCUCCCAAAGUGCUGGGAUUACAGGCGUCAGCGACUGUGCCCGGCACAUGCUGUAUCCUUAUCUGUUGUCUGUUGUUGUUUGUUUGUUUUUGAGCCCAGAAAUAACUUCUCACCUAUAUGUUCAAAUGAUUUUUAACAUGAGUGCUAAGAAAGCUCAUUGGUGGAAAAGCAGCCUUUUCAAGAAAUGGUGUCGGAGAAACUUGAUUUCCACAUGCAGAAGAAUGAAGGUGGACUCUAAGUCACACCAGGUGCAAAAAUUAACACAAACCAGAUCAAAGACCUAACCCCAAGCACUAAAAGUAUCAUAUGCCUAAAAGAAAACAUUGGCCACACUUUCAUGACAUCAGAUUGGGCAAUGCUCUCUGGGAUAUGACACCAAAAGCAUAGGCAACAAAAGAAAAUUAGAUUCCUUGGAUUACAUCUAAAUGACAGACACUUUUGUGCAGCAAAAUCACGGCAAACUGAGUGAAAAGAUAACCCAUGGAUUAGGAAAAAUAUUUGCAAAUCAUAUAUCUGAAAAGAGGCUGAUAUCCAUCAUAUAUAAAGAAUGGCUAGAACUAAGCAACAAGAAACUCAAAGCAUCCCAUCAACAAUGGUCAGAAGACUCGAGUAGACAUGUCCCUAAAGAAGAUAUCACAAUGGCCAAUAAGCAUCUAAAAUGAUGUUCAAAAUCACUCAUCAUAGGGAAGCGCAAAUCAAACCAAGAAUGUGAUACCACACAUCAGGAUGGAUAUGAUAAACAAACAGGCAUUGGUGAGACUAGAGGGAAGUAGGAAUGCUCGAAUAUGAUCGGAGGGAAUGUAAAACCGUGAAGGAACGGGGAAAAUAGUAUGAUGUGUACUGGAAAAAUCAGAAGCAGAAUGAUCAGAUGUUCCCGCAGUUGCAUUUGUGGGUACCUACCAAAAACAAUUAGAAGCCAGGAGUGUAACACAGAUUUGUGUACACCCAUAUUCAUAGCAGCAUUAUUCACAACAGCCAAAAUGUGGAAGCAACCCAAGGGUUCAUGGACAGAAAAAUGGAAAAGCACACUGCAGUUCAUUCAUACCGUGGAAGACUAUUCAGCCUUCAAAAGGCAGGCACUUCUGGCCGGCGUGGUGGCUCACGCCUGGAAUCCCAGCAUCUUGGAAGACCGAGGUGGAUGGAUCACCUGAGGUCAGGAAUUCAAGGCCAGCCUGGCCAUCUUGGUGAAACCCUGUCUCUAAAGAAAAUGCAAAAAAUUAGAUGAGCGUGGGGGCAUGUACCUGUAGUCCCAGCUACUCGGGAGGCUGAGGCACAAGAAUCGCUCGAACCCGGGAGGCGGAGGUUGCAGUGAGCCCAGAUUGUGCCACUGCACUCCAGCCUGUGUGACAGAGUGAGACUCCAUGUAAACACAAAACAAAACAAAGUCAAACUAACAAACAAACAAAAAACAAAAUAAAAAAAAACAGACAGGCACUUCUGAUGCAGGCCGCAACAUGGAUGAAACUUGAAGACAUUGUCGUCAGUGAAAUAAAGAAAUCCCAAAAGGAUAAACACGACCAGGCUCAGUGGCUCACACCUGUAACCCCAGCACUUCGGGAGGCUGAGGCAGGCGGAUCACUUAAGGUCAGGAGUUCAAGACCAGCCUGGCCAAUAUGAUGAAAGCUUGUCUCUAUUAAAAAUACAAAAAUUAGCUGGGUGUGGUGGCACACGCCUGUAAUCCCAGCUACUCAGGAGACUGAGACACAAGAGUCCCUUGAACCCGCGAUGUGGAGGUUGCAGUGAGCCGAGAUCACACCACCGCACUCCAGCCUGGGUGACAGAGAAAGACUGUCUCCAAAAAAAAAAAAAUUAAACACGGUAUGAUUCCACUUAUCUAUCAAGUGUCUAGAGUAGUUAAACUCAUAGAGUUGCAAACUAGAAUGGUGACCCCCAGGGGUGGGUGAGAGAGAGGAGUGGAGAGGUUGGAGAAUGGGUGCAAUUUCCAUUUUGAAAGAUAAGACUCUUUCAGAGAUGAUGGCAGUGAUGGUUGCUAAACAAUGUGAAUGUACUUAAUGUCAUUAAACUGUAAACUGAAAAAGAGUGGAAAUUGUAAAUGUGUAUACUGGCCAUUCUAUAUGAACUAAUAUAUAUUUAUAAUUUUUAAUAUUUAUACGUGGUAUAUUUUCCCAUAAUAAAAGAUGAAAAUUAAAACAGUUGGAUCUUUAAAAAGAAAAGAAAGAAGCGAAUAAUACACACCAGCUUUCUCCUGAUUAGAGGAAGAGCCCCAAAG
rnacentral:lncRNA from 1 species